UACGGGGGAGCAAGCGUUGUUCGGAUUUAUUGGGCGUAAAGCGCGCGUAGGCGGCUACUUAAGUCGGAUGUGAAAGCCCCUGGCUCAACUGGGGAAGUGCACCCGAAACUGAGUGGCUUGAGGUGCGAAAGAGGGUCGCGGGAAUUCCCGGUGUAGAGGUGAAAUUCGGUAAGAUAUCGGGAGGAACACCGGUGGCGAAGGCG
rnacentral:rRNA from 1 species